UCCCUGAUGGUCCAGUGGUUAAGACUCUGUGCUCCCAAUGCAGGGGGCAUGGGUUCAAUCCCUGGUCAGGAAG
rnacentral:tRNA from 1 species